GCCGAGGUGGCGGAACUGGCAGACGCGCUACGUUCAGGGCGUAGUGACCGAACGGUCGUGGAGGUUCAAAUCCUCUCCUCGGCA
rnacentral:tRNA from 1 species